CUAUACUAUUCAUAAUAAACUCCAAUAUAGUAUAGUACAUUCUUUAACGACAAUUAAAUAUAACAUUAUGAUACGAUGCCGCGUCUUCGUCUGUAUGUAAACCUAACCCCCAGACCUAUCAUCUACCAUGUGAACACAACUUCAUUGAAGCGCUAACCUUUUCCGCCUUUGAUACAACCUUACUCUUCUUCACCGUCAACUCUUCACUGCCUAACACACGAUUGUGGGAUACUCACGAGCCAUCUGUCAGUUUCUUUGCUCUCUUAAUGCCUCUAUAAAGCUGCUUUCUCCAUAAUGCGCCGCAAUCCGACUUCCACCGAUGAACCCGUAAAUUCCCAUACACCGGCAAUCCCAACUUUAGCCCCCCCCAGAAGUAUAUUUUUACUUCUUUCUUCUGAAACGUCUCAUCUGUUGUGAGUAGAAGUAUUUAUGGGAAGAGAUUGCAACCAUGGCUUGCGUAUGGAGUUAUGGUUAUCUGAUGAAUUAAAGUUGUCUUAUAAGGUGCAAUUUCUCUUUUAUAAAAUGUAAUCAAAAACCAGUACAAAAUAUGAAUAAUAAUUUUAUCAAUCAUUCAAAAUUGAGUGAUCUCUACAACGCUUAGGCAGAUGCUAAAAAUCCUAAUGAUAAAACCAAAACAUAUGACAUGAGC
rnacentral:lncRNA from 1 species